AUCCUGAAUCCAGAAUUAUUAUCGAUAAACAUCAGACUGAAGGUUAUGUAAGUAAUUAUAAAGUUAUGUUAAAUCAGUUACAAUGGAUCAUUCAGUUAUUAAUCCCAAAUCCAGAAUUAUUAUCGAUAAACAACACACUAAACGUUAUGUAAGUAAUUAUAAAGUUAUGUUAAAUCAGUUAUAAUGGAUCAUUCAGUUAUUAAUCCUAAAUGCAGAAUUAUUAUCGAUAAACAACACACUAAAAGUUAUGUAAGUAAUUAUAAAGUUAUGAUAAAUCAGUUAUAAUGGAUCAUUCAGUUACUAAUCCCAAAUCCUGAAUUAUUAUCGAUAAACAACACACUAAACGUUAUGUAAUUCUAAACAUAUUAUUAUUGAUAAACAACGCACUAAACAUUAUGUAAGUAAUUAUAAACUUAUGUUAGAUCAGUUACAAUGGAUCAUUCAGUUAUUCAUCCCAAAUCCAGAAUUAUUAUCUAAACACAACACACUAAACGUUAUGUAAGUAAUUCUAAGCAGAUGUUAAUUCAGUUACAAUGAAUCAUUCAGUUAUUCAUCCCAAAUCCAGAAUUAUUAUCUAUAAACAACACACUAAAACUUAUUUAAGUAAUUAUAAAAGACGAUAAGUCAGUUAAAAUGAAUUGUUCAGUUACUAAUCCCAAAUCCAGAAUUAUUAUCGAUAAACUACACACUAAACGUUAUGUAAGUAAUUAUAAACAGUUGUUAACUCAGUUACAAUGGAUCGUUCAGUUAUUAAUCCCAAAUCCAGAAUUAUUAU